UCUUAGCAGUCAGUGUCGAGUGAGCGAGGCGGUCCACUUGCAUUACGCCGAACCCCCUCGCAGAACGGCCGACGGACCCGGCUCGCCGCCCUCGUGACCCCUCCGCAAGUAUCGCAAAGCUCUGCGAUGAAGCCCUGACCUUUUCCAGGUGAGGGUACCGUCCGGGAAGCCUUCGGCAACGGCCGAGGACUUGCAGUGAGU